GACGAACGCUGGCGGCGUGCCUAAUACAUGCAAGUUGAGCGCUGAAGGUUGGUACUUGUACCAACUGGAUGAGCAGCGAACGGGUGAAUAACGCGUGGGGAAUCUGCCUUUGAGCGGGGGACAACAUUUGGAAACGAAUGCUAAUACCGCAUAAAAACUUUAAACACAAGUUUUAAGUUUGAAAGAUGCAAUUGCAUCACUCAAAGAUGAUCCCGCGUUGUAUUAGCUAGUUGGUGAGGUAAAGGCUCACCAAGGCGAUGAUACAUAGCCGACCUGAGAGGGUGAUCGGCCACAUUGGGACUGAGACACGGCCCAAACUCCUACGGGAGGCAGCAGUAGGGAGUCUUCGGCAAUGGACGAAAGUCUGACCGAGCAACGCCGCGUGAGUGAAGAAGGUUUUCGGAUCGUAAAACUCUGUUGGUAGAGAAGAACGUUGGUGAGAGUGGAAAGCUCAUCAAGUGACGGUAACUACCCAGAAAGGGACGGCUAACUACGUG
rnacentral:rRNA from 1 species